rnacentral:tRNA from 1 species
CAGGGAGACAACAAAAUGUUUAAUAUUAUUAUUUUGUCACCUUAGGUCGAUCGGUAUCUCACGUUCUUAACUUAUUAAGAAUUUCAUUUCCUAAGUUUUUCUAGGUCACACCCAUUAUUUUUCCUGGGCCAUUAGCUCAGGUGGUUAGAGCGCACCCCUGAUAAGGGUGAGGUCCCUGGUUCAAGUCCAGGAUGGCCCAUACCUCUAUGUUGGGGGUAUAGCUCAGUUGGUAGAGCGCCUGCUUUGCAAGCAGGAUGUCAGCGGUUCGAGUCCGCUUACCUCCACUGAUUACCACCUCUUCCAUAAUCUGUAUAAAGGAAAAUUUUUUGAGUUGUGAUCAGUAUCCUGAACGAAUCUAGCUUCCUAAUGUAUCCAUUAAGAUGCUGGACUCAUUGAAUUAAUUUCAUUGUUUUCAGAGAACCUUGACAACUGCAUAGAUUAUUUUUUUAAAGACAAUAAGCAUCUUUAAUGAUGCAGAUUUAUUAUUUGUGCUAAUGCAUUAAUAACAAUUCUAUUAAGCUGAUGCUUCAAUUUUUGAAGUUAUU